rnacentral:rRNA from 1 species
GUUGAACGCUGGCGGCGUGCCUAAUACAUGCAAGUCGAGCGAAGCGGGGACGGGUGAGUAAUACGUGGAUAACCUCCUAUAAGACUGGGAUAACUUCGGGAAACGGGAGCAAUACACGAUACUUAUCGAUUGAUCUUCGCUGCAUUAGCUAGUUGGUAAGGUACCGGCUUACCAAGCCUACGAUGCCUAACCGACCUGAGAGGAUGAUCGGCCACACUGGAACUGAGACACGGUCCAGACUCCUACGGGAGGCAGCAGUAGGGAAUCUUCCGCAAUGGGCGAAAGCCUGACGGAGCCACGCCGCGUGAGUGAUGAAGGUCUUCGGAUCGUAAAACUCUGUUAUUAGGGAAGCGGUACCUAAUCAGAAAGCCACGGCUAACUACGUGCCAGCAGCCGCGGUAAUAC